GACGAACGCUGGCGGCGUGCUUAACACAUGCAAGUCGUACGGUAAGGCCCUUUCGGGGGUACACGAGUGGCGAACGGGUGCGUAACACGUGAGUAACCUGCCCACAACUUUGGGAUAACGCUAGGAAACUGGUGCUAAUACUGGAUAUGUGCUCCUGCUGCAUGGUGGGGGUUGGAAAGCUCCGGCGGUUGUGGAUGGACUCGCGGCCUAUCAGCUUGUUGGUGGGGUAGUGGCCUACCAAGGCGGCGACGGGUAGCCGGCCUGAGAGGGUGACCGGCCACAUUGGGACUGAGAUACGGCACAGACUCCUACGGGAGGCAGCAGUGGGGAAGAUUGCACAAUGGGCGCAAGCCUGAUGCAGCAACGCCGCGUGCGGGAUGACGGCCUUAGGGUUGUAAACCGCUUUCAGCAGGGACGAAGCUUUUUGUGACGGUACCUGCAGAAGAAGCACCGGCUAACUACGUG
rnacentral:rRNA from 1 species